GGCGAGGCAGCUUCUUGUUGGUCAGCUCUGUCUGGUGAUUGGCAGUGGCUGUCUCUGGAUCAACGAUUGGCUCCACAUAGACGUCCCGGACUGAUGGGGACAGACAGUUGGACAGCAAACUGACAGCGCCAACCGACUGCGAGCCCCAGCUCCAGCCCCACCUCCAGUCUUCCAUCGAGGUCCCUUUGUCGGUGGAAAGUGCAGCAGGACAUACCACAGGCUUCUCCCAGCUGUCAGUCCGAGGCACUUUACAUAACAUAUUCUCCUACGAGCAUGAUUCAAAUAAAAGGUACCCCAAAGCAGGCAUCGAAGUAGGCCUUUAAUUGGACGUUACAGGAACCCCACCCGUUCGUCAUAAACAGUCGGGCUUUGGAAGGAAGCACAUCUCGAAAAAAAAAA